UGUCUGCUCACAACUAUCUGUCAGUCAGUU
rnacentral:piRNA from 1 species